rnacentral:rRNA from 1 species
GAUGAACGCUAGCGGCAGGCCUAAUACAUGCCAGUCGAACGAGAUUAAGAGGCUUGCUUCUUAUGAAAGUGGCGCACGGGUGCGUAACGCGUAUGCAACCUACCUUAAUCAGGGGGAUAGCCCGAAGAAAUUCGGAUUAAGACCGCAUAAAAACACAGGAUAGCAUUAUCCAAUGUUCAAAUAUUUAUAGGUUUAAGAUGGGCAUGCGUGUCAUUAGCUAGUUGGCGGGGUAACGGCCCACCAAGGCGACGAUGACUAGGGGAUCUGAGAGGAUGACCCCCCACACUGGUACUGAGACCCGGACCAGACUCCUACGGGAGGCAGCAGUAAGGAAUAUUGGUCGAUGGAGGGAACUCUGAACCAGCCAUGCCGCGUGCAGGAAGACAGCCCUCUGGGUCGUAAACUGCUUUUAUUCGAGAAUAAACCUUUCUACGUGUAGGAAGCUGAAUGUACCGAAGGAAUAAGGAUCGGCUAACUCCGUG